AGGAAAAGAAACUAACAAGGAUUCCCUCAGUAAGGGCGACUGAACGGGGAAAAGCUCAGCAUGUGAAUCUGCGCCUUGGCGCUGAAUUGUGGUCUGUUGACUCUGGCGUUAUUGGCCGGGCUAAGUCCCUUGGAACAGGGCAGCAUAGAGGGUGAGACUCCCGUCUGCCUGGCCUUUUGAGCUGGAUGUCUACGAGUCGAGUUGUUUGGGAUUGCAGCUCAAAGUGGGUGGUAAAUUCCAUCUAAAGCUAAAUAUUGGUGGGAAACCGAUAGCGUACAAGUACCGUGAGGGAAAGAUGCAAAGAACUUUGAAAAGAGAGUUAAAGAGUACCUGAAAUUGCUGAAAGGGAAGCGAAGGAAACCAGUGCUUGCCGAGGCAUAUUUCUCCCUCCGCUUGCGGGGUGGGCGCUGUGUCUUGGCCUGGGUCAGGCUUGGUUCGGUUGGUCAGAAGGGCGUAGUGGGAGUUGCCCACUGCUUGCCUGUGACUGGCAGGACUGAGGCUGACAAAAUGGUUUUCUUUACCCCG
rnacentral:rRNA from 1 species